UUAACGACUCUCGGCAACGGAUAUCUCGGCUCUCGCAUCGAUGAAGAACGUAGCGAAAUGCGACACUUGGUGUGAAUUGCAGAAUCCCGUGAACCAUCGAGUCUUUGAACGCAAGUUGCGCCCGAGGCCUCGGCCGAGGGCACGUCUGCCUGGGCGUCACGC
rnacentral:rRNA from 2 species